rnacentral:rRNA from 1 species
GACGUAGGGCGCGAGCGUUGUCCGGAUUUAUUGGGCGUAAAGAGCUCGUAGGCGGCUUUGUCGCGUCGACUGUGAAAACCCGCGGCUCAACUGCGGGCCUGCAGCCGAUACGGGCAGGCUAGAGUUCGGUAGGGGAGACUGGAAUUCCUGGUGUAGCGGUGAAAUGCGCAGAUAUCAGGAGGAACACCGGUGGCGAAGGCGGGUCUCUGGGCAGUAACUGACGCUGAUGCACGAAAGUGUGGGGAUCAAACAGG